rfam:Charadrius vociferus contig32342, whole genome shotgun sequence.
UGUGCUAAUCCUCUUGGAAUGCAGCAAUUAUCACCUACCGUAUAGGUGUUAAGUGCUGUAUUUCAAAGGGAUUAUCACU